rnacentral:tRNA from 1 species
UGGAGGGGUGCGCCGAAUUGGCAAGGCACCGGUCUUGAAAACCGGCGCCCGCAAGGGCUUGUGGGUUCGAGUCCCACCCCCUCCGCCC